AUUGAACGCUGGCGGCGUGCCUAAUACAUGCAAGUCGAACGCAGUGGGGACGGGUGAGUAACACGUGGGUAACCUCCCAUCAGAGGGGAUAACACUUGGAAACAGGUGCUAAACAGAUAUCGCUGGUUGGACCCGUGGUGCAUUAGCUAGUUGGUGAGGUAACGGCUCACCAAGGCCACGAUGCAUAGCCGACCUGGGAGGGUGAUCGGCCACACUGGGACUGGGACACGGCCCAGACUCCGUCGGGAGGCAGCAGUAGGGAAUCUUCGGCAAUGGACGAAAGUCUGACCAAGCAACGCCGCGUGAUUGAAGAAGGUUUUCGGAUCGUAAAACGCUGUUGUUAGAGAAGCGGUAACUAACCAGAAAGGGACGGCUAACUACGUGCCAGCAGCCGCGGUAAUAC
rnacentral:rRNA from 1 species